UAGAACACUCCAAAAGCCCCACAAGACGGAGAAGGUGUAAGAAGCCAUCCAGAAUAAACCUCUCUCCGUGCACCGUGAAAAGCACACAUGGCUGGGAGUCAGAGACGCAGCCCCACCUCCGAGACUUACUGAGGACGCUCUUUGCCUCUCUUUCAGACGAUUUACAGGAACGACACCACCAGAUCCCUACACACAAAGAUCAACUGACCAAGGGCAAAGAAGUUACACGACUGUUUUCAAUGUCUACAGAUAUCAGUCAUCUUUUGACUCCCUUGUCCCUCUAACAUAGAACAAGCCCGACUCACAUGCUCUGAGAGAUGGUUCUUUGGGACAAUAGUUCACCAUGUCCUCAGUUGGCUGGCUUUCCUACACCAACGUCUUGCUUCUCAACUCGCCUAUCAUCCGGCAAGCAAAUACAUUUGAACACAGUUACAAAAUGAGGGGUUGGACAGGUAUGGGGCAAAGAGGACCUGUUCGCAUGACCCUUACAGCUGUCUGGGGCCCCAUAAGAGCCCAAAUAUGUGCUUGGGAUCGAAAUGUCUUUGACUGGUUCACUCCCACGAUAUCCACCUUUGUAGGAAGAAAUGCUGUGGCCCUCACGACAGCCCUUCGGCAUCUUCUUCCUUCACUUGAAGCACAAAGCAGAAUUCCAGUGGAAGACAGAUGUCCAGUCCACGGGGAUCUGGAGCAGGGGCGGACAAUGAGAGAAUGCCCAAAGGGCCCCAAGGCAUGGGUGACAAUUGGUAAAAGAACCAGGCUCUAGGAGUUUAGAUGUCUCUGAUAGGAAAACAGGAAAGGAACUCAACAGAAAACUUAAUUUGGAAAAAGGGCUCUUAUCAGUAUUCCAAGCAGUUUGCUUCGGUCACUACAUAAAGAGCUUUUCUGGGUCAAUAUGAAAAAUCCCAGUACCGCAACUGAAAAGCGCGAGACAAUUCGCAUGAAUUAGUAGAAAUGACCAAUAUGCACUUAAAGAAAAAGUUCAACCUCAGUAGUAAUCAAAGAAAUACAAAUUAAAGCAACAAACCAUCUCAACAUAUUCUUGCAGAACAGCAAAAGUUUCCAGAUCUGCCAGUUUAUAGACAAUACAGGGGAGAGAAGAACAUUUAAAUGACUCGCGGCAGAUGCAAUCAGCUAAAAUCUAAAUGUGGAAAAACUUUAUAGGACAAAACAACCCAGCUGCGUCCACAAAUACAUCUUAAGGAACAGGGGGGAAGAGACCUCAUGUGUUAAAGGAAACAUAACUGACAUGUCCGCCAAAAGCAACAUGUGUACUUUAUUUGGGCAAAACAAAACCAAAUGUAAACACGACACAAUGGGGGAUGUGGACAUUUGAUGAUAUUAAGAAAUUUUCAUCCCUUUUUAGGGUGUGAUAAUGGUGUUGCAGUUAUGUUUAUUAAAAUAUUACUUAUC